rnacentral:rRNA from 1 species
AGUGAAGCGGUAAAAGCUCAAAUUUGAAAUCUGGUACUUUCAGUGCCCGAGUUGUAAUUUGUAGAAUUUGUCUUUGAUUAGGUCCUUGUCUAUGUUCCUUGGAACAGGACGUCAUAGAGGGUGAGAAUCCCGUUUGGCGAGGAUACCUUUUCUCUGUAAGACUUUUUCGAAGAGUCGAGUUGUUUGGGAAUGCAGCUCAAAGUGGGUGGUAAAUUCCAUCUAAAGCUAAAUAUUGGCGAGAGACCGAUAGCGAACAAGUACAGUGAUGGAAAGAUGAAAAGAACUUUGAAAAGAGAGUGAAAAAGUACGUGAAAUUGUUGAAAGGGAAGGGCAUUUGAUCAGACAUGGUGUUUUUUGCAUGCACUCGCCUCUCGUGGGCUUGGGCCUCUCAAAAAUUUCACUGGGCCAACAUCAAUUCUGGCAGCAGGAUAAAUCAUUAAGAAUGUAGCUACUUCGGUAGUGUUAUAGCUUUUUGGAAUACUGUUAGCCGGGAUUGAGGACUGCGCUUCGGCAAGGAUGUUGGCAUAAUGGUUAAAUGCCGCCCGUCUUGAA